GACGAACGCUGGCGGCGUGCUUAACACAUGCAAGUCGAACGGAAAGGCCCUGCUUUUGUGGGGUGCUCGAGUGGCGAACGGGUGAGUAACACGUGAGUAACCUGCCCUUGACUUUGGGAUAACUUCAGGAAACUGGGGCUAAUACCGGAUAGGAGCUCCUGCUGCAUGGUGGGGGUUGGAAAGUUUCGGCGGUUGGGGAUGGACUCGCGGCCUAUCAGCUUGUUGGUGGGGUAGUGGCUUACCAAGGCUUUGACGGGUAGCCGGCCUGAGAGGGUGACCGGCCACAUUGGGACUGAGAUACGGCCCAGGCUCCUACGGGAGGCAGCAGUGGGGAAUAUUGCACAAUGGGCGGAAGCCUGAUGCAGCAACGCCGCGUGCGGGAUGACGGCCUUCGGGUUGUAAACCGCUUUCGCCUGUGACGAAGCGUGAGUGACGGUAAUGGGUAAAGAAGCACCGGCUAACUACGUG
rnacentral:rRNA from 1 species